rnacentral:lncRNA from 1 species
AGGGACUCUGUGUGGGGGCUCCAACCCCACAUUCCCCUUCUGCACUGCCCUAGCAGAGGUUCUCCAUGAGGACCCGCCCAACAUGAUGAAGCAAAUGUCUGUGUGGGCAUCCAGCUGUUCUCCUUACAUCCUCUGAAAUCUAGGCAGAGCUUCCCAAACCUCAAUUCUUGACUUCUGUGUGCCCACGGCCUCAACACCACAUGGAAUCAGCCAAGGCUCGG